UUGAACUCAUUAUGUAGCCCAGGCUGGCCUCGAACCUACCACGAUCCUCCUGCUUCAGCCUCCGAGCGCGAGUGAGUGCAACUAUGAGAGGAGAGCGCUUCAAGUCGUGCAGGCGGCAGGCUCAGGUGUGCUGACCAGGUGCGGUGCCUGUGGAAGCGCCCGAGCCAGGAGGGCAGCAACAGUUAGGAGCUGGGAGCAACAUUGCCGCUCUCGCCCCAACGCUGCUCAUCGCCCAUUUCCCAGAGCGCCUUUCGCUGAGUGCGCAGGCGCCAGCCGGUUCGCGGGCUGAAAGGCGGGGCCGAGGCGCGGAAACUGACCUGCUUCCCAUGUGAUGGGCCCGCACCUGCUGUCCUGCCCCACGUGUGGCAUCCCCCUUUCUCUGUUGGCUGCUCCUGUGAUUGGUAGUCGUGGGGACACAGGGUACACAACAGAGGACGAAGGCGACCCAACAUGCUGAGGCCAUCACACAUCAACAGACCCAAGCACCCCACAGCCCCUGCAGGUG